rnacentral:tRNA from 1 species
GGGGGUGUAGCUCAUAUGGCUCGCUUCGCAUGCGAGAGGCACGGGGUUCGAUUCCCCGCACCUCCA